GCAACAAAGGUGCAAAUGAAUAAAUGGAAGUGACAGGGAUAAGUGAAAGUAUCAGGUGAGAGAGACCAAAUUCAGUGCUAGAAUGUCUGGCCAGAUGCUUUCACCAAACGGGAAAUUAAACGCUGAGCCAAAGUCAGCCCACAGAAGAAAAAGAAAAAAUAUCCAAGUCCAAGAAAAGAAAAGAAAAAAUAUACAGUCUGGCUGAACAGAUUGAAAGCAGGCUGCUGAAGUUCCAAUGGGAAGAAGAUGCCAAAACGCCUAUCAUCAGAAACAGUCAAAUAUGGCACAAGCUAGGGGUAUCACAAAGCUUCAGUCAUUAAUGUUUCUAAAAACACUGAAAUCCUUGGAAGGAAGGUGCUGUAGUAUAAACCAAUUCUGGUUUAUUCUUUCAGGUUCUUCCCUGGUUAUUAUUUCAAGUUUCCUUACUGUGGACAUGAAAAUGAAAAUGAGCUUCUUGAGAGAAAAUUGGCCAAUGUUACACUAUACAGAGAAUUACAAUUUCACUUCUCCAACACUGAACUUUAAUAUUCUGACUUUGGUGGGAGUGUUCUGAUUACUACAAUAUAUUGACUGUAUUCGUGUCUCCCUCAUGCUAGCUGUAACCUUCUGUGGGGUGUCGGUUUAAAAAUAAGACAACUAAACUUAACACACAGUAACUUUGUUUUGGACAGAAAAUAAGUCCUAGGAUUCCACUAUGAUACUUAUUCACAUUGGGUGAAAUUCUGGUCCCACUGAAGUCAAUGAAAUAUUCCCAUUUAUAUCAAUGGGGUAGGAUUUCACCCAGUGAGUGGUACCUUACUUGACAAGUGGCUUCACUAACUUCAGUGGAAUUAUUUAGGAUUAUGAUAUAAUUCCACAGGACUAAAAGUAGCACAAUCUAGCUCCAACUGAAAUAUAAAGCAUUCAGAUGUAACUUCAACCUUUCAACUUGAAAUACAAAAUUCUGAAGUUAACCUGAGAUGCACUUAAAACCAAGGUUUCUCUUAAGAUUCAGAAGUAUGAGUAAGAGAUAAAUAGUGGAAGUGAUUUUGUUACAUUAAUUAUUUUAACAGAUAAUUUCUUAUGGCAAACUGUUUAAUAUUGUAUGUUUUAACCAGAGGACACUACUGAAAAAAAACUUAUAACUAUAUGUUUAA